rnacentral:rRNA from 1 species
UACGGGGGGGGCAAGCGUUGUUCGGAAUUACUGGGCGUAAAGGGCCAGUAGGCGGCCAACUAAGUCGGAUGUGAAAUCCCCAGGCUCAACCUGGGAACUGCAUCCGAUACUGGAUGGCUUGAAUUCGGGAGAGGGAUGCAGAAUUCCAGGUGUAGCGGUGAAAUGCGUAGAUAUCUGGAGGAAUACCGGUGGCGAAGGCGGCAUCCUGGACCGACAUUGACGCUGAACGGCGAAAGCUAGGGGAGCAAACGGG